UACAGAGGGGGCAAGCGUUGUUCGGAAUUACUGGGCGUAAAGGGCUCGUAGGCGGCCAACUAAGUCAGACGUGAAAUCCCUCGGCUUAACCGGGGAACUGCAUCUGAUACUGGAUGGCUUGAGUUCGGGAGAGGGAUGCGGAAUUCCAGGUAUAGCGGUGAAAUGCGUAGAUAUCUGGAGGAACACCGGUGGCGAAGGCGGCAUCCUGGACCGACACUGACGCUGAGGAGCGAAAGCCAGGGGAGCCAAAGCGGGGAUUAAGAAACCCGGGGUAG
rnacentral:rRNA from 1 species